GAUGAACGCUGGCGGCGUGCCUAAUACAUGCAAGUCGAGCGAACGGACGAGAAGCUUGCUUCUCUGAUGUUAGCGGCGGACGGGUGAGUAACACGUGGAUAACCUACCUAUAAGACUGGGAUAACUUCGGGAAACCGGAGCUAAUACCGGAUAAUAUUUUGAACCGCAUGGUUCAAAAGUGAAAGACGGUCUUGCUGUCACUUAUAGAUGGAUCCGCGCUGCAUUAGCUAGUUGGUAAGGUAACGGCUUACCAAGGCAACGAUGCAUAGCCGACCUGAGAGGAUGAUCGGCCACACGGGAACUAAGACACGGACCAGACUCCUACGGAAGGCAGCAGUAGGGAAGCUUCCGCAAUGGGCGAAAGCCUGACGGAGCAACGCCGCGUGAAUGAUGAAGGUCUUCGGAUCGUAAAACUCUGUUAGUAGGGAAGAACAUAUGUGUAAGUAACUGUGCACAUCUUGACGGUACCUAAUCAGAAAGCCACGGCUAACUACGUG
rnacentral:rRNA from 1 species